UGGCUGGUACGUUUGGUUUGUUCCCUUGGCGGAGUAUAUUGAUUCUUGGCUCUCUAACAGUUUAAGUUCAAGUUGUAUCGAGGAGCUCUGACUCAUGAUUUCACUGCAGUGGAUUCCUCUGUCUCUGGUGCAUUGGCAGUGAGGAUCAUUCAGUCUCCUUGGAGAUGAAAAAAGACAGUGCUGCAGAAGAGAGAAGCUGACAUUUUCCAGCACCUGCGUGUACCUUCACCCAAGUGACUCCUCAUCCCUUUGGCACAGGGAGCACAGAAAGACCCCAAACCAGUUCCUAAAGGAUUUGUGCCUGGAAAAAUUAGAAGAAUGAACCAUGUAAUGCCAAAUAGACAAGCCAUACCACAGGGCCAGAAAGCUCACAGCAGGAGUUGAGACCUUUGUCUAGUGCACAGCACCAGUUUUACCCCUACUUACAUGAAGACUGAAUCAAGCUGUGACAGCCAGCUAAUAGGAAGAACAAGAAAACAUCACAGAAAAGGAUGACUAUUUCCCACUGAUUUUUCAAAUCAAUCAGUUUCAUACCAGGACAAAACAGAGUUCUUCUGCACAGACCAGAUGUACUUUUCUGUUUACAGAGAUGCAAGUAGUCCAAAAGCCAUCCAUUCUACCUUCAUAGAAAAAAUGUCCCUGACAGAAUUGAUCCUAUUGCAUUGGUAACUCCAGCAGAGGAUUAACUACAGGAGUCCUCCAAGCACUGCAACUGAAGCAGCCAGCAGCAGCAAAACAAUAAUGUCUUCCUGGUCAGCAACACGAACCACGAGGAGGAUCUUGUUCACUGCUCCUGCAUAAAUGGAAAGCAUAAGGAUCUGGAUGUGAAACACUCAUUCUGUAGCAAAAAGGAAGAGCACCUUGUGCACAUAACAGCAUUUAAGGAAGGUAUUAUGAAAUAAAAAGUCCAACACU